rnacentral:rRNA from 2 species
GUGACAUACCUAUACGUUGCCUCGGCGGAUCAGCCCGCGCCCCGUAAAAAGGGACGGCCCGCCCGAGGACCCCUAAACUCUGUUUUUAGUGGAACUUCUGAGUAAAACAAACAAAUAAAUCAAAACUUUCAACAACGGAUCUCUUGGUUCUGGCAUCGAUGAAGAACGCAGCAAAAUGCGAUAAGUAAUGUGAAUUGCAGAAUUCAGUGAAUCAUCGAAUCUUUGAACGCACAUUGCGCCCGCCAGUAUUCUGGCGGGCAUGCCUGUUCGAGCGUCAUUUCAACCCUCAAGCUCAGCUUGGUGUUGGGACUCGCGGUAACCCGCGUUCCCCAAAUCGAUUGGCGGUCACGUCGAGCUUCCAUAGCGUAGUAAUCAUACACCUCGUUACUGGUAAUCGUCGCGGCCACGCCGUAAAACCCCAACUUCUGAAUGUUGACCUCGGAUCAGGUAGGAAUACCCGCUGAACUUAAGCAUAUCAA